CCCUUAGAUGUCCUGGGCCGCACGCGCGUUACACUGAUGCACUCAACGAGCAUAUAGCCUUGGCCGAGAGGCCUGGGUAAUCUUGUUAACAUGCAUCGUGAUAGGGAUAGAUUAUUGCAAUUAUUAAUCUUGAACGAGGAAUUCCUAGUAAUCGCGGAUCAUCAAUCCGCAAUGAUUACGUCCCUGCCCUUUGUACACACCGCCCGUCGCACCUACCGAUUGGAUGGUCCGGUGAGGAGUCGGGAUUGUAGCUUGGAUCCUUCAUUGGGCUCAGGCCGCGAGAACCUCUCCAAACCUUAUCAUCUAGAGGAAGGUGAAGUCGUAACA
rnacentral:rRNA from 1 species